rnacentral:rRNA from 1 species
AGGCCUAACACAUGCAAGUCGAACGGCAGCACAGAAGAGCUUGCUCUUUGGGUGGCGAGUGGCGGACGGGUGAAUAAUGUCUGGGAAACUGCCCGAUGGAGGGGGAUAACUACUGGAAACGGUAGCUAAUACCGCAUAACGUCGCAAGACCAAAGUGGGGGACCUUCGGGCCUCACACCAUCGGAUGUGCCCACAUGGGAUUAGCUAGUAGGUGGGGUAAUGGCUCACCUAGGCGACGAUCCCUAUCUGGUCUGANAGGA